CUUAUUAUCCGCAGCCAUCCACAAUAAUUUGCAGAGCUCCUCCAACUCGACCAAAUCUUAGCAACAAAUCAUCGUCGCCCAUCAUCAACAGAAAGCUAGAGGAGCAGUUGCAACCAUUACCGCCUUGAAUCCGGAGAAUCUACACCAAGAUCAACCCGGGUGAUCUUUCAUCGAAGACAAAUUAAGAGGGCGUCAGAUUUAAACAAAAUAAAGCAUUUAGUCUCAGUUUAGCAGAGAAGAGUCGGAACAGUGAGGAGUCGAUGCUUGCACACCAACUGUUUGUACAAAUUCCACAGAGAAGAGCAUUUAAAUGUUCAAACACCAUCUUUCUGUUCCUUCCGAUCACCUACGCCGAGUCACACUAGCAGCCGCUUCAUCCUCCUCCGAUUACAUCAAGCUACACCAACGUCGCAUGUCUCUUCAUCGCUUGCUACUGUAUGGAUAAAUCAAGGACAAAUCAGAUCCGGAUAUGAAAUCGAUUACCAGCGCUUCACUACACCAGCUCCGCUCCAUCCUUAUUCUCCGACUACCCCGAAGGGCAUCAGCGUCUCACUGCAUCAGCCGCUUCAUCCUGAUUCUCUGAUUACCUCAAAGUACCAGCGCGUCUUCGUCGGACCGAGAAUCGACACCAAGAAGAACAGUUGUCGAUUGUUUUAUUCGACAAUAUCGUCAUUGAAUAAGCAGGAUGACGAACUAUGAAUCGGAUCAGCGUAAUUGAAUAAGCCGGGUGAUGAAGCCGGAUGAUGAGCUAUGAAUCGGAUCAGCUUCAGCAAUGUUUCUCUUUCCGCGCAACACCUUUUCUCUCCUCAACACCGCCGGUUAACCAGAGUGGAUAAAUCACUCUCUAGCAAGAGACCCAGCGACAACUCCAGCGAAUCUAAACGAGCUUCUCAAUUGGAUAACAAGAAACCACAGAAAACAUAAUUGGCUCACAACUCUUCGGGUGAAUGUUCUUGAAAAAGUUGGUAGAUCCACCAUAAAUCAACGGAAAAGAGAUAAGUCCCUCAUACUUAAUCUAAUCUCUUUUAAUUCUGAUCGGUGUCAUCUCUUGGCAGAAAUAAAAUGAUUAUAAAGUUGCAAAACUCAUAAAAAUUAAUUUUGUAUCGAAUUGUUUCUAUUGCCCUAUGAUGAUUCUCUCUGGUUUAGUUUGAAGAUAGUUUUGGUAAAGUUUUAGGGUUCUUAUAUGGGUUUCGAUUUGUCUUUUGAUUGUCAAUAUUUAUAGAAGAUCGAACAUCAGGUUUAGCUCGUAUUAAUUCUUAUUACCCGUCAAUUGGUUUUGGAAUUUGAUUUGUUUUAAUUUUGAAUUUCAACUGAACUUAUACUCGUUCCUGGUCGAUUAUAUUAACAUCAAUUGAUAAAUCCCUUAGGUGUUUAAACGUGUCGACAAAUGUAUUCAAAUUUCCAGCUCUUGAAUCACAAUUACUAACCAGAAUUUUCCUCAAUGUGGCUAUUAGACAAGUUUUCAAGCACAUGACAACUUAGCCGGAGCUUCCAGGCAAACAGUGAACAGGAUGAUGUGAACACAGACAUGUUCCAAAGUUAUUUGUACGAGACUUCGAAUGAACGAUAGAGAAGAUUGUCGACUACCAAUGCCAAUGAAGCCUACUGCUCAGUCUGCUCUUUACUUCUUCAAAACCUCUAAUUGCCUCCUUGGGAUGUUGGGACAGUGAGGAUACUUAGCUCAAAGUAGCCUCGGAAACUCCUUGUAAUUUGCCAUAUACAAGCGUCGUAAGCAGACUUUGAAUGGAUUUUGGAAAGCUCAACUGAAGAUCACUACAUCAUCGCCAUCUGGAAUGGAUUUUGAAUACCACUAAGCACAUGAAAGAUAAGUUUCUAUUGUCUUCUUCAAAUCUAGGUUGCAAACUGUAUAUCAAUUCUUCAAUAACAAUUUUAUAAUUUGCUAGUGAAUGAAGACGUAAGAAUGACCUGUGACCUUCCGCUCCUAUGAGUUAUGAAUGCUGACCUUAAACCUAGUCAUAUGUUUAACUCUUUAUGAUGUUACCAGGAGCUCCACGACCUGGCUCCAUGAUAAAUGACUUGUGUAUCUGAACUUAAUUUAAAGCAUGCUGUAAUUUAUUUGCUGAUUGCGCAUUUUUUGUAAGCUCCAUGAUAACCUUAGCAAGGUCUAUUAGAUAGUUGAAUGUAUACCCUAAUUACAGCCCACCUGUAAGCAUGUAUCUAUAGAAAUUUCCUCUCUUCAUUUAGUUGUGGUGUAGAGCUGAAGUUGAUGAGCAUAGGCUCUUUUAUCCCUCUCUUGCUACUCCCUUGAUCGAGCUCCAUUUUCUUAAACGGAAAAUAUCACAUUAUUUAUUUUAUCAACAGCUAUGCCUAUACUGCUUACUGUAGAAUAUCACAUGAUACCUUGAUGUUCUGCUAUUUGAUUCAUUGGCCAGAAAGUCCCCGAAAAUUGUCACUCAAGGAAGAGAAAAUUGUCACUUAAGGAAAAGCGCUCAGCUCCAACAUCUGUGCAUCGAUGGACUGCCACUAUCCCCAGCAGAACUAAAAGCGAGCAGCAGCUAAUGCAACCCGCAUUAGCGUCACUGGAGUGCAUCAGCGCCACUUUUCCCUCGUGCACAGAGGACAGGUCAUUAUAGUCGCGUGAUGCCAUGAAUCCUCUGAGCUUGCCAAGCUGUCAAUCAGUGACCUAUUUCUUCAUAGAGGUGAGCUCGAAUAUUGGAAUUCUGUUUACUUUACGAUUAAGGGAUGAUCACUCUUCCCACUUUAUUACUACAAAUCGCACCCAGUAAUGGCUCACAUGAGUUAUAUCUCACAUGUGUAUGUUGUCACCUUUAUCACUAGGGUAUACAUGUUCGAAAGUUUUAACAUCAGAUGUAUCUGCGCCUUACUUCUCAAUAUCGCUCUAUUAAGAAAGAGCCAAGAUCAUGCCAUUGUCAGAGUAUGAUUGCAUUAUCUCACAAUUACAUUUUUGCUAAACAUGCAAGACCACUCACCAUAAUGAGUAUAUGUACCCAUCUCACGUAUUUAGUAUAUUAAUUCAAGAAGUGUCCAAGAUAGC